UGAGUUUGAUCAUGAAUCAGAAAGAACGCWAGCGGCARGCUUAAUACAUGCAAGUMGAGGGGCAGCAGYUUUAUAKCAAUAUUGAGGCUGGSGMCCGGCAAAMGGGWGCRGAACACGUACMCAACCUUCCUUGAAUAGGGGGAUAGCCCSUAGAAAAGKGGAUUAAUACCCCGUAAUAUAUCGGUGWGGCAUCACAYUGUUAUUAUAGUUUCRRCGAUUCGAGAUGGGUGUGCGGCUGAUUAGGUAGUUGGCGGRGUAAAGGCCCACCAAGCCUUCGAUCAGUAGCUGAUGUGAGAGCAUGAUCARCCACACGGGCACUGAGACACGGGCCCGACUCCUACGGGAGGCAGCAGUAAGGAAUAUUGGUCAAUGGACGCAAGUYUGAACCAGCCAUGCCGCGUGAAGGAUGAAGGUCCUCKGGAUUGUAAACUUCUUUUAUAGGGGGCGAAAAAAGGUCUUUCUAGAUCACUU
rnacentral:rRNA from 1 species